rnacentral:tRNA from 1 species
CGGGGUGUGGCCUAGUGGAUUAGGGCAUCUGGUUUGGGACCAGAGGACCGUGGGUUCGAAUCCCACCACCCCGACCA